CGGGGCCGCACAAGCGGUGGAGCAUGUUGGUUUAAUUCGAAGCAACGCGAAGAACCUUACCAGGUCUUGACAUCCCGAUGCUAUUUCUAGAGAUAGAAAGUUACUUCGGUACAUCGGUGACAGGUGGUGCAUGGUUGUCGUCAGCUCGUGUCGUGAGAUGUUGGGUUAAGUCCCGCAACGAGCGCAACCCCUAUUGUUAGUUGCCAUCAUUCAGUUGGGCACUCUAGCGAGACUGCCGGUAAUAAACCGGAGGAAGGUGGGGAUGACGUCAAAUCAUCAUGCCCCUUAUGACCUGGGCUACACACGUGCUACAAUGGUUGGUACAACGAGUUGCGAGUCGGUGACGGCGAGCUAAUCUCUUAAAGCCAAUCUCAGUUCGGAUUGUAGGCUGCAACUCGCCUACAUGAAGUCGGAAUCGCUAGUAAUCGCGGAUCAGCACGCCGCGGUGAAUACGUUCCCGGGCCUU
rnacentral:rRNA from 1 species